GACAGAGGGUGCAAACGUUGCUCGGAAUUACUGGGCGUAAAGCGCGUGUAGGCGGGUUUCCAAGUCAGAUGUGAAAUCCCUGGGCUCAACCCAGGAACUGCAUUUGAAACUGGGAGUCUUGAGUAUCGGAGAGGAAAGCGGAAUUCCUGGUGUAGAGGUGAAAUUCGUAGAUAUCAGGAGGAACACCGGUGGCGAAGGCGGCUUUCUGGACGAUAACUGACGCUGAGACGCGAAAGCGUGGGGAGCAAACAGG
rnacentral:rRNA from 1 species